UACGUAGGGCGCAAGCGUUGUCCGGAAUUAUUGGGCGUAAAGAGCUCGUAGGCGGGCAGGUAAGUCCGUGGUGAAAUCUCUGAGCUUAACUCAGAAACUGCCAUGGAUACUAUUUGUCUUGAAUAUUGUGGAGGUAAGCGGAAUAUGUCAUGUAGCGGUGAAAUGCUUAGAUAUGACAUAGAACACCAAUUGCGAAGGCAGCUUACUACACAGUUAUUGACGCUGAGGCACGAAAGCGUGGGGAUCAAACAGG
rnacentral:rRNA from 1 species